UGGGGAAUAUUGCACAAUGGGCGAAAGCCUGAUGCAGCAACGCCGCGUGAGUGAUGAAGGCCUUCGGGUUGUAAAGCUCUGUCUUUUGGGACGAUAAUGACGGUACCAAAGGAGGAAGCCACGGCUAACUACGUGCCAGCAGCCGCGGUAAUACGUAGGUGGCAAGCGUUGUCCGGAUUUACUGGGCGUAAAGGAUGCGUAGGCGGAUUUUUAAGUGAGAUGUGAAAACCCUAAGCUUAACUUGGGGACUGCAUUUCAUACUGGAAAUCUAGAGUGCGGGGGAGGAGAAUGGAAUUCCUAGUGUAGCGGUGAAAUGCGUAGAGAUUAGGAAGAACACCAGUGGCGAAGGCGAUUCUCUGGACCGUAACUGACGCUGAGGCAUGAAAGCGUGGGUAGCAAACAGGAUUAGAUACCCUGGUAGUCCACGCCGUAAACGAUGAGUACUAGGUGUAGGAGGUAUCGACCCCUUCUGUGCCGCAGUUAACACAAUAAGUACUCCGCCUGGGAAGUACGAUCGCAAGAUU
rnacentral:rRNA from 1 species